rnacentral:lncRNA from 1 species
GUUUAUGUCAAUGAAGCUUGGUGAAACUUCAAUUUUCACUCUAAUUGCUGUAAACAAACCGUCAGAAGAAGAUGAAUGCAAUGUCCCUACCAUUGCGAGUAUCUGACAAUAUUCAUUUCUAUUGAAAUGCGUAAACAUUAGUAAACAGUUGACUAAAAAAUGCUACUUCACAUGUCAUCAUCAGGCACUUCAAUGCAUGUUUUUUGACAAAACAAAUUCUAACAGUGCAUCAACACCUACAUCUAUAUCCAUCAAUGUAGGAAGUCAAAAAGCGCAAGAGACAACCCAAAACUAAGUUAGUCAUUUUGAGCUGAAUGUGUGCUGGUUCUCUUGUUGUGGCCUGCUGCUCCACAUUUCUUUCACCUGCUUGUAUUACAUGUAUGUGGCUUACCAUGUGAUCUUGCUGUUCAACAGCCCCUUUAUACUAGCUUUCUUUGAUCUUCGAGCCUUGGCCUUGGUUUGGAUGGGGGUGUUAGAGGAACUUGGCCUGGAUUACUCCACAACUCAGGGCUUCUCAUGGGAGAGAUGGUAUAUGAAUAUGUAGUAAUGUAAGCUGCUUUUUGUAUAGUCCAUCGGUUGGGUGUCCAUUUUCCAAGAACGCAAAGCUUUCUAUCACAUGAGAACAUUGUAUGCCACUUAGCUACCAACUCCUACAUGGGCAAGUUCUUGCUCUCAAGUCCACUGAAGAUUAUUUUAUGUGCAUUUGUAUAAGCAUAAAGACGAUAAAUAGAAAAAAUGUAUCCACACAGAUAGUUGUUAAUUAGCAUUAUAUAUGCGAUGGUAUCUUACUCGAUAAGGAUGGCUUUAAUCAUUUUGAAACUAUCUAUUGAAAACCAGGAAUACAAAAUAGAUACAAGGAAAUGUGAAUGGGCAAAGUACCUAUUCAUUUUUAACCAGAUUCCAUAGGACUCCACACCAUCAACCAUCAAAAUAAAUUUGAGGUCAGCAAUAUAUAUUUUUUCUCCAUUCCAUUCAAUUAUCAUUUUCCAGAUGCCCCAGCGAAAUUUAAUGACAAUAUGGCCAUCAAUGUACACAAGCCUCCGACUUCACCUGAGUUUGAAACAUAGCAUGAUAUAUACAGGCAUGUACAGUCAUUUUGACUCCACAAUUCUUUUUCUGUUGAGUGCACUAUUCACCAUAUAUAUUUCUCCGACUUCAUUUAAAUAAGGCUGAACAAAUUUCUUCACAAACGUGCUAUCAGGGAUUUUAGUAAUAGUUGAAAGAAGAGGCCACUUUCCAAUCAAAUUCUUACUCUCCAAAACUCCUAAAACUUGCAUUCUGGGCUUAAUCUUCUUUUCAACACUGUAAGUCAAUGAUAUUGGACAGUUAACAAUACAUGAAAGAUCAUACUUCCCGGUUGCAAGUAAAAGCUCUACUACCUUACUUAUUUUCCUCUGUGAUACAGAAAAUACCUGAGGAGCCUUUUGAAACAUUUUCAAAAUAUCAUCUUCCGAAAACCCCAAAUUCCUAAAAUGCCUUAACUUGAGUUCCCAAUUCUCAUUGCUCAUUGAACCAACAACCCGAACAGCAUGAAUAAACAAUUUGGAACUUCUACAAGUCCCCAUCUCAUCAACCAUUUUAACAAACAUUUUCAUAUUUUUUGGACUGCACAUGAGAAACCUUGGAAAAUUAUACAUUUUCUUUAUGAUUUGUUCCAUGCCUGCACCACAACUCUUUAAAAAUUCAAUAUUAGGUACCAUAAUCUUCUCCAAAUCUGUUUUCAGGUACCACCCAGAAAUCUUUAAAACCUUAGUUAUCUCUGCACUAGAUCCCAAUAAUCUUUUCAAAACUGAUAAUGACGAUCUGACCCUACUGUAUGCACUUCGAUGCAAAUUUGCUGGAUCGAUUGAAAUAAUCUUAGCAAUGUCUUCGGCAGAAAAGCCCAAAUCUUGGAAAAUCUUGAAUUUGGGCUUGAUGGUAUUCUCAAGACUUGCAGCAAGCAAACCAGGCAUAGUUUUCACGACUCUCUCCAGCUGACUCUUUGAAAAACCACUCUCCUUGAGAAAUGAUAAUAUUGAAUCAGAUUUUUGAGGAUUCUUUAUACGAGUUAAAACAGAGGCAACUUGUGAAGCUGUUUCAGGAGAAAAUUGGUGUUUGUGUAGCAGGAAAUCAUACACUGUAAGAUCAGUUUUCACUUUCUUUUCGGUUGAGGAAGAGGAAUAAAGGAGAGAAAGUGAGAAAGAAAAAUGGGAUUUGUAAAGAAAUGAAGGGUUACUUUUGCAUAAACACACAGCCAUUAUCUUUGAAGUAUUGUGGAUUACCUCUAUGAAUCAUAUAUGUUGAACCUUGGAAGAUGAUUCAGUAAAGCUUCUACAAUUGGAAUUCUCUCAAAAAAAAAUUUCUAGUGUGUUUAGGAUCUAGGGUUAUUGGGAGUGUGAAGAAGAACACACCACUCCGCAGAGGAAAUAAGACUAGUGUGUUAUGGGCUCACACGAAA